UACAGAGGGGGCAAGCGUUGUUCGGAAUUACUGGGCGUAAAGGGCGCGUAGGCGGCCUUCUAAGUCGAACGUGAAAUCCCCGGGCUCAACCCGGGAACUGCGUCCGAUACUGGAAGGCUUGAAUCCGGGAGAGGGAUGCGGAAUUCCUGGUGUAGCGGUGAAAUGCGCAGAUAUCAGGAGGAACACCGAUGGCGAAGGCAGGUCUCUGGGCAUUAACUGACGCUGAGGAGCGAAAGCAUGGGGAGCGAACAGG
rnacentral:rRNA from 1 species